rnacentral:rRNA from 1 species
GACGAACGCUGGCGGCGUGCUUAACACAUGCAAGUCGAACGGAAAGGCCCUGCUUUUGUGGGGUGCUCGUGUGGCGAACGGGUGAGUAACACGUGAGUAACCUGCCCUUGACUUUGGGGUAACUUCAGGAAACUGGGGCUAAUACCGGAUAGGAGCUCCUGCUGCAUGGUGGGGGUUGGAAAGUUUCGGCGGUUGGGGAUGGACUCGCGGCUUAUCAGCUUGUUGGUGGGGUAGUGGCUUACCAAGGCUUUGACGGGUAGCCGGCCUGAGAGGGUGACCGGCCACGUUGGGACUGAGAUACGGCCCAGACUCCUACGGGAGGCAGCAGUGGGGAAUAUUGCACAAUGGGCGGAAGCCUGAUGCAGCAACGCCGCGUGCGGGAUGACGGCCUUCGGGUUGUAAACCGCUUUCGCCUGUGACGAAGCGUGAGUGACGGUAAUGGGUAAAGAAGCACCGGCUAACUACGUG